UUUUUCCUUUUUAUAUUUGGGGGAUUUGGUAAUUGAUUAGUACCACUUAUAUUAGGAGCCCCAGAUAUAGCAUUUCCACGUAUAAAUAACAUAAGAUUUUGAUUAUUACCACCAUCAUUGACCCUUCUUUUAACAAGAGGAAUAGUAGAAAGAGGAGUUGGUACAGGAUGAACUGUAUACCCACCUUUAUCUGCUGCAAUUGCACAUGCAGGAGCAUCAGUAGACCUUGGUAUUUUCUCAUUACACUUAGCAGGUGUUUCAUCAAUUUUAGGUGCAGUAAACUUUAUAACAACUGUCAUUAAUAUACGACCUCAAGGUAUAACAAUAGACCGAAUACCACUAUUUGUUUGAGCAGUAUUUAUUACAGCAAUUCUUUUAUUAUUAUCUUUACCAGUGUUAGCUGGAGCUAUUACUAUAUUAUUAACAGACCGAAAUCUUAAUACUUCAUUUUUUGAUCCUGCUGGGGGUGGAGAUCCCGUUUUAUAUCAACAUUUAUUUUGAUUCUUUGGUCACCCAGAAGUCUACAUUUUAAUUUUACCAGCUUUUGGAAUAAUUUCUCAUAUUGUUAGUCAAGAAUCAGGAAAAAAUGAAUCUUUUGGUACCUUAGGUAUAAUUUAUGCUAUACUUGCCAUUGGAAUUUUAGGAUUUGUAGUAUGAGCCCAUCAUAUAUUUACUGUUGGUAUAGAUGUAGAUACACGAGCAUAUUUUACAUCUGCUACAAUAAUUAUUGCUGUUCCAACAGGUAUUAAAAUUUUUAGAUGAUUAGGAACUCUUCAUGGCACCCAAAUUAGAUAUAGACCAUCUUUAUUAUGAGCCAUAGGAUUUAUUUUCUUAUUUACAGUAGGAGGAUUAACUGGUGUCGUACUUGCUAAUUCUUCUAUUGAUAUUAUUUUACAUGACACUUAUUAUGUUGUGGCUCAUUUUCACUAUGUUCUUUCUAUAGGAGCUGUAUUCGGAAUUUUUGCUGGAAUUGCCCAUUGAUUCCCUCUUUUUACUGGAGUUUCACUAAAUCCAACAUGAUUAAAAAUUCAUUUUUUCGUUAUAUUUACAGGAGUAAAUAUUACAUUUUUUCCUCAACAUUUCCUAGGUCUUAAUGGAAUACCACGACGAUACUCUGAUUACCCUGAUGCAUAUACAACAUGAAAUGUUGUAUCAUCUAUAGGCUCUAUAAUUUCAUUAGUAGCAGUUUUAGGAUUUGUUAUUAUUGUUUGAGAAGCUUUUAUCUCUUCACGAAACAUUGUAUUCUCAACGUUCUUUCCUGCCUCUAUUGAAUGAGAACAUUCAUACCCACCUGCGGAUCAUAGAUAUAUAGAAAUUCCUAUAGUAUCUAAUUCUUAAUAUCUAAAAUGACAGAAUUAUGUACAAGAUUUAGGAUCUUGCCAUGGGUCUCAUAACCCUUUUAGAAUUUAAGAUGGCAGAAAGUGCCCAAGAUUUAAGCUCUUGUAAUGAAAUUUAUAAUUUCUCUUAAAAAUUAACAAAUACUUUAUAAUUUCUCUUAAAAUUAACAAAUGCCAACAUGAGCUCAUAUAGGAUUUCAAGACAGUGCUUCACCCUUAAUAGAACAAUUAAUUUUCUUUCAUGAUCAUGCUAUAAUUGUAUUAAUCCUUAUUACUACAUUUGUAGGUUAUAUAAUUUCAUCAGUGUUUUUUAACUCAUAUAUUAAUCGAUAUUUACUUGAAAAUCAAAAUAUUGAAAUUAUUUGAACAAUUUUACCAGCUAUUAUUUUAAUUUUUAUUGCUUUACCAUCACUUCGACUACUUUAUCUACUAGAUGAAAUUAAUAACCCAAGAAUUACUCUUAAAGCAAUUGGUCAUCAAUGAUACUGAAGAUAUGAGUAUUCUGAUUUUCUCCAACUAGAAUUCGAUUCAUAUAUAGUUCCAUCAAAUGAAAUAGACUCUUCCGGAUUUCGACUUUUAGAUGUAGAUAACCGAACAAUCUUACCAAUAAAUACUCAGAUUCGAGUACUUAUUACAGCUGCUGAUGUUAUUCAUUCAUGAACAGUCCCAGCACUAGGAGUAAAAGCUGAUGCAAUUCCAGGACGUUUAAACCAAGUUAGAUUUAUAAUUACCCGACCAGGACUUUUUUAUGGUCAAUGUUCUGAAAUUUGUGGAGCUAAUCACAGUUUUAUACCAAUUGUAAUUGAAAGUACUUCAGUAGAUUCAUUUCUAAAUUGAAUUUCACAUUCUGAAAAUGAUUAGUAUUAUAUUAUAGUUAGGUGACCGAAGUUUUAGGUGUAGGUCUUUUAAACCUAUUAUAGUACACAUACUCCUUGCUGCCAUCUUUUUAGUAUAACAGUAUAUUUGGCUUCCAACCAAAAGGUCUAAUUAUUUUAGAAAAGAUAAUCUUAUUUUUGUUAUUCUCCACUAUUAUUACAUUAUUAAUUAGAUGUGUAGUUAUAAUUUUAGCAUCUUUGUUAUCUAAAAAAAUAAUUAUAGAUCGAGAAAAAAACUCCCCCUUUGAAUGUGGUUUCGACCCAAAAGGGUCGGCUCGUCUUCCAUUUUCUUUACAAUUUUUUCUAAUUGCUGUAAUUUUUUUAAUUUUUGAUGUAGAAAUUACCUUAAUUUUACCUUUAGCGUAUAUUAUCCAUAUAUCUAAUAUUUUUUCUUGAGUUAUAACAGGAUUAAUAUUCCUUUUUAUUCUUUUAUUUGGCUUAUAUUACGAAUGAACUCAAGGUGCUUUAGAGUGAAGAGAGUAAUUAUUUAAGCUAUAAUUUAAUUUAAAAUAUAUGAUUUGCACUCAUAUUAUGUCUUCUAAAGUCUAGCUUAA
rnacentral:tRNA from 1 species